AGAUUGAACGCUGGCGGCAGGCCUAACACAUGCAAGUCGAGCGGUAGAGAGGUGCUUGCACCUCUUGAGAGCGGCGGACGGGUGAGUAAUGCCUAGGAAUCUGCCUAGUGGUGGGGGAUAACGUUCGGAAACGGACGCUAAUACCGCAUACGUCCUACGGGAGAAAGCGGGGGACCUUCGGGCCUCGCGCCAUUAGAUGAGCCUAGGUCGGAUUAGCUAGUUGGUGAGGUAAUGGCUCACCAAGGCGACGAUCCGUAACUGGUCUGAGAGGAUGAUCAGUCACACUGGAACUGAGACACGGUCCAGACUCCUACGGGAGGCAGCAGUGGGGAAUAUUGGACAAUGGGCGAAAGCCUGAUCCAGCCAUGCCGCGUGUGUGAAGAAGGUCUUCGGAUUGUAAAAGCACUUUAAGUUGGAGGAAGGUUGUAACUUAAUACGUUGCAACUUUGACGUUACCGACAGAAUAAGCACGCUAACUCGUGCCAGCAGCCGCGUAA
rnacentral:rRNA from 1 species